rnacentral:rRNA from 1 species
GACGAACGCUGGCGGCGUGCUUAACACAUGCAAGUCGAACGGAAAGGCCUAGCUUGCUGGGUACUCGAGUGGCGAACGGGUGAGUAAUACGUGGGUGAUUUGCCCCUGACUUUGGGAUAAGCCUGGGAAACUGGGCCUAUUACCGGAUAUUCAUUUUUCCUCGCAUGGGGAUUCGUGGAAAGCUUUUGCGGUUGGGGAUGGUCCCGCGGCUUAUCUGCUUGUUGGUGGGGUAAUGGCCUACCAGGGCGACGACGGGUAGCCGACCUGAGAGGGUGAACAGCCACACUGGGACUGAGGGACGGCCCAGUCUCCUACGGUAGGCAGCGGUGGGAAGUAUUGCACAGUGGGCGCAAGCCUGAUGCAGCGACGCCGCGUGUGGGAUGACGGCCUUCGGGUUGUAAACCUCUUUCAGCUCAGACGAAGCGCAAGUGACGGUAGGAGCAGAAGAAGCACCGGCCAACUACGUG